rnacentral:rRNA from 1 species
GACGAACGCUGGCGGCGCGCCUAACACAUGCAAGUCGAACGAGCGAGCGGAGGUUUCCUUUCUCAAGCGAGUGGCGAACGGGUGAGUAACGCGUGAGGAACCUGCCUCAAAGAGGGGGACAACAGUUGGAAACGACUGCUAAUACCGCAUAAGCCCACGACCCGGCAUCGGGUAGAGGGAAAAGGAGCAAUCCGCUUUGAGAUGGCCACGCGUCCGAUUAGCUAGUUGGUGAGGUAAUGGCCCACCAAGGCGACGAUCGGUAGCCGGACUGAGAGGUUGAACGGCCACAUUGGGACUGAGACACGGCCCAGACUCCUACGGGAGGCAGCAGUGGGGAAUAUUGCACAAUGGGGGAAACCCUGAUGCAGCGACGCCGCGUGGAGGAAGAAGGUCUUCGGAUUGUAAACUCCUGUUGUUGAGGAAGAUAAUGACGGUACUCAACAAGGAAGUGACGGCUAACUACGUG